GUCAGCGAGUUGCGCAUGCGUCGGGGAUUUGCUCAAAGUCGCGCCGGGGGCUUGGGCGCAAAGGGUCGCGCUGAAGUGUUCCCUCCUCUUCCUCCUCCUCCUCCUCCUCUUCCUGAGUCCGCCAGCUAACGCGGACUGGAACUCUCCCGGAAGAGUCUUCAAAAUCUGGGGUGGAUUUUAUACCUACAGCACAUGUCAAUUGAGAUUAGCCCUACUUCAAGUACUCAUGUGGCUGUGUGAAGGUCUAGGAUAUGCCUUUCCUAGAAGAAGUUAACUGGGAGGCCAAGAUAAUAAUCAGAAGACUCUCUGAGCACUUCAGCAUACAGAGGUUGGGGAGAUGAAGAGCAAAAGAGCUUAAGAAGGAGCUGUCAGAAAAGUAGGAGGAAAAUGCCGCUUGGCGUGUGGGAUCGAACCCACUCCCCCGGCAGUGGAAGCACGGAGUCUUAACCACUGGACUGCCAGGGAAGCCCCAUGUUGUUAUACUCUUGAAGGUAUCCCCAUAGCCCUGAUCCUUUGAAGCUGUGAUUUGGCUUGCAAGAGGAAAGAAGCCUUCAUCACUGGCCUGGAUGAAGCAGCCUGUGAUUAGAAAACCCUUUCUCCCUCUGCUACUUGCGCCUGGAAUCGGAAGACCCUGUGGAAUGAGCUGUUCAGGUUUUCCUGGGAUGAGAGAUGAAAACCACCAGCACUUGUCCUGUUAAAACUAAACAAACAGUCAAAAGUAGCCUCAUAUGUUCCUUGGAAGACAUCUACCCUCCCUGACUGGAAGUAUUUCACAAGAGUCCCCAGGUCUCAAGCUCUGAAAUAGGAAUGGUGUGCCUGGAGGUGACUUCAUCUAUCCGCCUGGUUCUCUCUUCCGUCCCCCAGCCGAUCUCUGCUCUUGUAUCUGCCUAUCCUUCUGACUUGGCGCUGAACCCAGGGGGCUGCACAGACUCAUUCAGAAUUUCCGGACCCAGCCGACCUUCUCAGGCGGUGAAGACUGAUGAUUUCCAUCCUGAGGCCCCUGCCCCCCGAGCCAGAUGAGAACCACACGGUUAGGUGAUUACAGCUUUUUCCUCCUCCCGUUCCGGCCCCGGCGCCCUCCUUCCCGCGUCCGCCCCGCCGCAGCUGGAGUCUGGGAGACCCGCGUUCGCUCCCCACUUCUUCAAAGCCUUUCGCUACAAGGAACUCGCUUCCCCAUCGCUCCCCUCCCCCUUCUCCCAAAUAAACAACUGGAACUGCCAGUGGAAGGGGUGAGGGCCGGGCUGGAGCCCAGGGGUGGCCUUCGGGUCUCCGCCGGGCCCCCCGCCCCCUCCCCCAGCCUCCCUCCUCGCCGCGCCGGGAUGAACGGCAUUUUAUUUUAUUUCUCAUUGUCUUCUCGCCGCUGCAGAGCGCGAUGCCGGCGGCCGCCCGCCGCCCGAGGAAGGGGAGGCCGGGGGUCGGGCAGAAACUCAGCCAA